UUGUCAGUGAAAACAACAUGGCGGCUUAUACGGCAUCCAGGGCCAGUUAUGUUGGUGAAACUAAGAAACUGCUUCGAGAAGGAUUUGGUGUCUACACAUAUGAAAAUCAGUUCUUCAGAUAUGAAGGCCAGUGGCAGAGAGGGAAGAAACAUGGUCAUGGUAAGCUGCUGAUGAAAGACGGCACCUUCUACGAGGGUCUUUUUGCAAAUGGUGAGAUUCAAGGACAUGGCUACAAGUACUUUGCGACAUCAGGGUGCAAGUACACCGGGCAGUUCGAGCGUGGGGAGCUACAUGGCUACGGGGUCAUGCAGUACAAAGAUGGCACCCUCUUUGAAGGGGAGUGGGCGCAUAACAGAAAACAAGGCUAUGGGGUACUCAAGACUGGAGAGAACUCCACGUACGAGGGAGAGUUUGUUGGCAGUAUGCGGCAUGGAGACGGCACAAUGAUUUACAACGGUGUUUACAAAGCGAGUAACGGGGAUAGGUACACAGGCAACUGGGUGAUGGACAAGAGGCAAGGUCAAGGACAUCUCAUCUGUCAAGAUGGUACAGAGUAUGAGGGUCAGUGGCUGAACGACAUGUUCCAUGGUGAGGGCAAGAUGGUUCAUGCAUCCGGGAUCAUCUAUGAAGGUCAGUGGGUCAAUGGCUACCCAGUGGAGAUGGCCACCAAGAUGGUGAUCGUUAUGGAAACAGAAUCACUGGAACUCACUCAAGGGCAGACAUUCUCAGUCAAAGUUGAAUGUCACAACGACCUUGGGGAGGUCAUUGCAGAUCAAGGGAGAGAACUCCUGGUAUCGGCUGGCUUCAAGUACUACCCCACAAAGGAAGGCUCGGCACUGUUUGAUAUGAUAGAGCAGGUUGAGGAGAAACCUAUCGAAACACCUUUCGGCUACUCUAUUGUGCCCUACCCCCUGACUGACCACAUGAACACGGACGAGGAGAAGGAAGCGGAGGGGGAAAAGGAGGAGGCCGGUGAGAUCAAGGUCACACCAGAACAAGAGGUUCCAGCCAAGACAGAAGACGGAGAUGAGGAACAGGAACAGGUGGAAGAAGGAGAAGAGAAGGGGGAGAAGGAGGCAGUUAAAGAGGAAGGGGAGAAGAGCAGAGUCAUGUCGCCCACACAAGAAGCAGCACAGGAUCUUGUGACAGAACCAACCACAGAGGAGAGUGCACCUCCACAGAGAGAAACCACGCCCCUUCCUCCCCCUGUAGCCAGUCAGAGGACAGUGGAUGGUGCAAGUGAGUGGAGCUGUCUCCAGCUGGCCCCGCCCCCUCCAAUGUACCGCCCAUUUCUAGCCAUGGAGGAGGAGGUAGCAAUGAAGAAAACCAAGUCCAAGAAGCUGGGCCAGUCAAAGGACAAGAGCCUGGAAAAGCAAGAUGGUAAACAUUCCAGAAAAGAAAUUAAGGAGAAAACAAGCACAGAAAGUAACCUGGAUGAGAAAUUUGCUCGACAAGGGGAGUACGUGAUCAUGGUACAAGAUGUCACCAACCCAGCAUUUCUCCGAGGACCACUCCCUCCAGCAUUCAUGCUCGUCAAACUCCAGAAACCUAAACUAAAGAAAAAAGACUCCAAACCAAAGUAGGUCACCUUGUCUUUGUUUCAAACUGGAGCACCUUAACAACCUGUGACUUCUGACCCGACCCAGUUGACUGACCUUCACCUACCCGAUCUCAGUGACCUUCACCUUUGCUGCAGUGGAACGGAUUAACCAUGCACAAACAUUUCAUUUGCGCACAGUGUUCAUUUGCAUGAGGAGCACUUUGAAUUGUGGGAUUAUUAAUUGCACUGUUUGAAGGAGAAUGUUAAGAAUGAUCAUCAGUGAACAUUUGAGUGUUUCCAUUGGUCUAGAAGACAAAUUUAAUUACUUGUUUUACAGUCUAUUUAAUGUACAAAUAUACCGAUCUAAAUGUCUUAUAUACCGAUCUAAAUGUUAUCUUCCCUCACUUCCUCCUAAACUUUUGUAAGAUUAUCUUGAUGUGUCACAGUGUGUUUUAAUCUCUGACCAUGUAGUGGAUAUGUCACCAACUCCAUGUAAAUAGCUUCACCUUGGAACUUCAGAAGCAAAUAAGCAACUGAUAACCCUGAGGUUGUGGACUGACAAUAUCUGUGAUAUGUAGACGAUGAGGAUGAUAGUUUCAUGUCAGAUUGAAUAACAUCAUCCCAUACCUACUGCAGUUGCUUGACAUAUGGUCGAACUUCCAGCCGAUCAUAAGCAGGAAAUUAAAAAAGAUAGACGUACCGUAUGUUACAGUUGAUAAGCCGAUCUCAUUGAUAAGCCAAGGUCCUAACUUUCCCCUUAGAAUGGUAUGUUCCGUAGAUAAGCCAACCCAUGAACCUUCACUCAUCUUUUCGUUGUGAUAAUUCAUCAGAAAUAGUGUGUCAAGAAAUCCAUAUUGAAUUACACAAGUUAAUCAUGUUGUUACACCAUCUCCCUUUCUACAGACUGCAUUUUUGGGGCCUCAAAAUUUGGCUUAUCUACGGUAAUAUACAAUAAUUAAAUGAGACAGGUCAGGUCAGUGAUGAAGAUUGUACAGUGUUCCCAGUACUGUUACAUGAGGCAGUGUUGUACAGCUGUGAUACACCUGCUGUACAGCUAUUGUUACUGUACUGGAGACGUACAGGUGAGACGUGCGUUGUUUGUGACUGUAAGAUUGUUUGUGACUGUAAGAUUGUUUGUGACUGUAAGAUUGUUUGUGACUGUAAGAUUGUUUGACGAGGUUACCAAGAACAAGCAGCCAUCAAUAGCCAGUGACUGUCAAAACUUGAUGAACUUGUGUAAAUGUACCGACCACACGCAGAACUUGAUCAGAAGCACAGCAACCAGCACUCAUUUGUGUGUAGACAUUAUAAUAAUAAUAAUGAUAAUAAUGAGAAUAUUUAUAACGUACCUUUUCCAGGCUAAAUAUCCUGCUCAAAGCGCACAAUCUGAUCAUUAUUACCCCGGAUAACCCAAGCUGCCUGUUAGGCGCUAGAAGGUUAAUACUAGUAGUCUCAAGACUUAUUUCACCGGGUACCCAUUUCUUCCCUCCAUGUGCUGGGAACCUGACAUGACAGUAUACCAUUAUAUGUCCAGCUGGUGAUGUGUAUCACUUUAUAAAUGUGAAAAUGGACACUAGGAUUUUUUGAUUUCGUGCAAUGGCAGACUAUGGUAUACUGCUUAACAUAUGUAACUUUGGCCAGUUGAGCUUAAACUGUGAUAAAAAGUGUCUGUGCUUCUAUUCUAUAUGCAUUUGUCAAACAGAACUCAACAAAUACAAGAGGUUCCUAUAUGAUGUUCCUGUGAUAGUUGAAGAUUGCCAGUCCAACCAAUAUUCUGUGAUAUAUAUGGUUUUGCAUGAUACUUACUUUUACAGUGGAAUAAAGUCUAUAUUUUUUGUAA